rnacentral:rRNA from 1 species
AGAGCUUGAUCCUGGCUCAGGACGAACGCUGACGGUGUGCUUUAGACAUGCAAGUCGAACGAGAAAGCCCUUCGGGGUGAGUACAGUGGCGAACGGGUGAGUAACACGUGGGCAAUCUGCCCCUCGCAGGGGGACAACCGGGGGAAACCCCGGCUAAUACCCCGUACGCUUGUUGAGUCGCAUGGCUCUACAAGGAAAGGUAGCUUCGGCCAUCCGGCGAGGGAUGAGCCCGCGGUGCAUUAGCUAGUUGGUGAGGUAACGGCUUACCAAGGCGACGAUGCAUAGCUGGUCUGAGAGGAUGAUCAGCCACACUGGGACUGAGACACGGCCCAGACUCCUACGGGAGGCAGCAGUCGGGAAUCUUGCGCAAUGGGCGAAAGCCUGACGCAGCAACACCGUGUGAGCGACGAAGGCCUUCGGGUCGUAAAGCCCUGUUGAUAGGGACGAAGGGCGAAGGGUUAAUAGCCCCUAACCUGACGGUACCUUUCGAGGAAGCCCCGGCUAACUACGUGCCAGCAGCGGCGGUAAUAC